GUUGAUGGGCAGGGCCGAAAGGCCCUGUUAAAACACACGGGCCGUCCAAAGUCGGC
rnacentral:ribozyme from 1 species